rnacentral:piRNA from 1 species
UAACUAGCAUGGUUUCCUCACUUGGGCCCA